rnacentral:tRNA from 1 species
AAAGGGAUAGCUCUGCUGGUAGCUUUCAAAGGCGUCAGCCUUUGGAAGACGCAGAUUCAUAAUCAUGAGGUCCCCGGUUCAAUCCCGGGUCCCGCUA